AUCAUAUUCGUUAGUUAGUUUCUCUCAAUAACAAGAACAACAUCAUCAUCAUCUCGUGUUAAUUAAUAUUAUUAAACAAUCUAUUGUUAUAUAAAAAUAUCAAAUCGAUCUACGAUAUUAAUUUUAUUUUUAUAAUCAUCAUUGUUCACAUAGAAACGAAAUAAAAUACGUGAUACACAAAAAAAAGAGAAAGAUUAUUUUUCUUUUUUGAUUACACAAGAAAGAGAGAGAUAAUAAUUAAUAAUCAAUAUGCGUUAUUUAAUAACAAUACUUUACACAAUAUUGAUUUGCAUCAUUUGUGCAACGAUCACUGUUGGCAAUAGAGAUGUUGAAAGAAAACCUGUACCUGCGUUUAGAAUACCACAAAGAGGUUGUCCACCUGGACAAAGAAUUGAUGUAAAUGGUAUAUGUAGAUUAGUAAUAAAUGUAUAAUUAAUUAUGGUAUUGUUACAUUA